UAACCGACGAAGGGGACGGCUUACCACCGGUCGAGGAGUUCAUGACUGGGGUG
rnacentral:rRNA from 1 species